rnacentral:rRNA from 1 species
GACGAACGCUGGCGGCGUGCUUAACACAUGCAAGUCGAACGGAAAGGCCCUGCUUUUGUGGGGUGCUCGAGUGGCGAACGGGUGAGUAACACGUGAGUAACCUGCCCUUGACUUUGGGAUAACUUCAGGAAACUGGGGCUAAUACCGGAUAGGAGCUCCUGCUGCAUGGUGGGGGUUGGAAAGUUUUGGCGGUUGGGGAUGGACUCGCGGCUUAUCAGCUUGUUGGUGGGGUAGCGGCUUACCAAGGCUUUGACGGGUAGCCGGCCUGAGAGGGUGACCGGCCACAUUGGGACUGAGAUACGGCCCAGACUCCUACGGGAGGCAGCAGUGGGGAAUAUUGCACAAUGGGCGGAAGCCUGAUGCAGCAACGCCGCGUGCGGGAUGACGGCCUUCGGGUUGUAAACCGCUUUCGCCUGUGACGAAGCGUGAGUGACGGUAAUGGGUAAAGAAGCACCGGCUAACUACGUG